rnacentral:rRNA from 1 species
UACGUAGGUGGCGAGCGUUGUCCGGAUUUACUGGGCGUAAAGAGCGCGCAGGCGGUCAAGUAAGUCGAAUGUGAAAGCCCCUGGCUCAACUGGGGAGGGUCAUUCGAUACUGCUCGACUCGAAGGCAGGAGAGGGAAGCGGAAUUCCCGGUGUAGUGGUGAAAUGCGUAGAUAUCGGGAGGAACACCAGUGGCGAAGGCGGCUUUCUGGCCUGUUCUUGACGCUGAGGCGCGAAAGCUAGGGGAGCAAACGGG